GGAGAGAUGGCUGAGUGGUUGAUAGCUCCAGUCUUGAAAACCGGUAUAGUUCGAAACAAAAAACUAUUGAUGGUUCAAAUCCUUCUCUCUUCU
rfam:Gossypium arboreum cultivar AKA8401 contig_1032_9, whole genome shotgun sequence.